ACAAUGGCGAAUUCCAUUUUCAGUUCCUCUUUUGCUGCCAUGGGGUCAAAAGCUUUGGAUUCUUCCAUGUCUCUUUUAAACUACAAUUGGACCUUAAAACCAAUUUAUCAAUUUUCAAUCAUCUCGCGAUCUAUUUCGUCGUAGAAAAAGUAAUUAGGGGAUUGUUUUUGUAUACUAAUAAAAUGUUUUUCAUAUUUGCGUUCUCAAUUUUUUUAGAAUUUAAUUUCUCAGCUUUUUGCAUUUUCUUUUGGUUUUAGUUAAGUCUAAUUUGAUGGAUUAACAAUUGACUAUAUGCGAUUUAUUUUUUAUUUUCUUGUUCAUGGAUAGUCUGGUUUGGAUGGUUGUGUAGGAACAUUAUGAUGUGUGCUUAUGUGGAUGGUUUGGAUUCAGUGAAUUCAAGUUCGAUUUCAUUGGCUAGCAAAUUUCUCUUUUGCCACUUUUUAAGUUUUAGCUACUGAUUUCACAUGUUAUUAGAUGUUUGAAUGCAUAUAAUAGCAAAUGAUGAGAAGUUUCUACUUCUGUUGCUUGUUAGGUAUAUUUAAUGGCAUGGUUGCUUACUCUUCUUUAGAAUGACAAUUGGGUAGAAAUUCCAUCAAUCGAGGUGCAUGUAAUCUAUUUGAAGGCUUAAAUGUUAAUCAAUUUGUUUUUGUUUAUGAUUUAAUUCCUUCUGAAGAGACACUAACAUUUAUGAACUUACACUGAAAUCUUGAACUUGUUUGGUCACAUUUUAUUAUGUUUCCUUCUCAACUGCUGUUUUUGUGACUGUUCCCCUUUUAUGAUCAUAUAACAUAAACUUUAUUCAUGUCUACAGUGGAGCACGAUUUUCUUUUCAAAUUGAUUCUUGUUUCAUGACUCCUUUAUCUAUUGGCACAUACAUAGAUUCACUCUUGGUGCAUGUUUAUAGUAUUGAUUGCCAAGGUAUUGACAUUAUUAACAUAUUUCUUUUUUGAAAGUCUGAGCAGGAGGCUGAUGUCCCAAUGCCAAUUGUCCUGAUAGAUCAC
rnacentral:lncRNA from 1 species